ensembl:lncRNA
AUUACACACCAUCCCUGCUAACACACGACGUAACAGUUACGUAACGUAUUGGUAAUUAUUGGUAAUUCCGUGACUUACCAAUUGACAACGUAACUACGACGUCGCAUGACUGUAAUUUUGUUACCAUCCCAUUACCAACUCACAACGUCGUCAGUACGUCCUUCCAACGUGACCAGAUAACCAAGAACGUCCCAGAUUGGUUCUCUAUUCGUUAUAUAUUGGUAACUUCAUGACUUACUGGCAACGUAACUACAACGUCGUAUGCACGUAAUUUCAUUACCAUAACUUUUGUACGUGCUUUAUAUGCUCUCUGAGUAUAGUGAUAAAAAGUGUAAUUAAACUUCAGACACAAGAUUAAACGUUCCUUAAAGAUAAAAUGUGUUUCUUUUCACCAAGUCAGAAUAUGGACAUGUUUUAAUAUAUAGUGACGUAACAUACAGCGCGCGCGCUUCCACAGCUGACACACCGCGCGCACAGACAAGAAAGGAAAUACAUUUUGUGAAACUUUCUAUUUCGUAAGGAGUUAUGAACGUGAAAUAAUGACACAGACUGGCUACACCAUCUCAUCUGCCGCAGAUACUGUAUCAGGAGGACAGCGCGUUUGUUUGAGGCACUUUUCACUUCAACUGUGUCUGACAGGAGAAUUAGCUUUUCUGAGCUUACUAGCCGUUGAGAGUUACCAUGGCAACCGCGGACACAUCAGCUGCUGGAGAGGAGAGGACUCCUCUGACACUUUCUCUGUUUCUCGUCAGUUAUACCAAAGAAAAGUUCAACAACUGCGACAGAUUGCUUAAGUAACACAUGUUAAUAUCAUCCACACUCUAUGUACUUUUGUUCAUAUUUAUACCUCUGUGAUUAUGGUAUAUUUCCUUAAUUAUCUGAAAUGUCUGCUAGCAAACAUUACGCUAGUGUAGAAACAAAACUAUAGCAUAAUUGAUUUGAGCUCUUAUUAAUGAAAGUUGGGGCUUUUAAUCACAUCUUAUGCCUAAAGGAGCAGUUUUGAUAGCUUUGUAAAAACAAAAGUCUUGAACUCUGUAAAGACGCUAAAACCCUUUUUUAAUAUUAUUGUUUUUACUAGCCGUUGAGAGUUGCCAUGGCAACCGCGGACACGUCAUCAGCUACUGGAGAGGACGCGUCUGACACUUUCUCUGUUUCUCGUCAGUUAUACCAAAGAAAAGUUCAACAACUGCGACAGAUCGUUUGUUUAUUUCUAAUAAGGAGCUGGAGGCCCUGGAGAAGCAGAUCCGUGACCUCGUGGAGAAGCAGGCUCAGCUGAGAGAGCGGAGAGCCGUGAUGGAAACAUUCAGGGGUUGAUGCUCAUAAGUCCGGUGUAAGUAUACAGCACGCUGCUAACUCUCCCACCACCUCUACUCUGUGUGGUUCUCUGCACAGGCCCGGUGUACCCAGGACGCAAUCUUUCCAGAUGUCCUUCACCCUGUGCCACAGCGUAAGACAUGAGCCAGGUCCUGGGCGACAACCUCUCUCCCCCCGCCGCCUCCGGUCUUCGGGAACUCCACUGGAAACCGAUUUGCUCCACUUCACGAGACAGAACACGACUCUGUGUUCGUCAGAGACUCCAUUAUCCGGCACGUUCGUGCUAUGUAAGCUGAAGGUAAUGUGCACACUCACUGUUUCCCUGGUGCUCGUGUUCUUGAUAUUUCUGCGCAGAUACCCGUGAUCCUGAAGGGUGAAGAGAGCAUCGGAGCGGUCGUGCUUCACACCGGGGUUAACGAUACCAAGCUGCGGCAGACGCAGACACUAAAGAGGGACUUCAGGAGCCUGAUCGAGACGGUGCGCAGCAUAUCGCCUGCACGAUGAUCAUCAUCUCAGCACCUCUUCUCAUGUAUAGAUGAGGACACGAAAGGUUCAGUAGAUUUUUUGCUCUAAAUGAAUGGUUAUUGUCAUGGUGUAAAGAACAGAAACUGCUCUUUGUUAAUAAUUGGAAUCUUUUCUGGGAGCGACCUAGGCUUUUUCGCGCUGAUGGCCUGCACCCCAGCAGAGUCGGAGCAGAACUCCUGUCGGACAACAUCUCAAGGACUCUACACUCCAUUGACUAGGCAGUUUGUGAAGACAGAUAAUCAAGAGAUGUGACAAACUGUACAGAAGUCAGUUCCAGAUCCACCCUCCACACCAGACCUCUCUCAUAUGGACUGCUGUCUACUAGCAUACUUCGGUGGAUUCAGAUAUUACUCAGGGACAUGAACACUUGAAUAUUGCAAGCAUAGAGAAAGUAAGAAUUACUGAAGAUUUAAGAAUUUAAUGUUAAUUGCUUAAACAUUAUAUAUACUGUUUUAGCAAUUAACAUUAAUAGUUUUUUUUUGGUGUCCAAAGCACCUAAAAGCCAAUUCACACCACCAUACUCCAACAGUUCAAACAAAACAAAAUAAGCAUGUUUUUUUAAAUAGUUUUUUUGGCAGUGUGAACUGGCCAUAAUGAUGUAUGUUAGGUGUGAGAUUCAUUAAACCUGAUUUGCUAUUAUACAUCUGUUCAUAAGAUAUUGCAUAUGAUUUUCAGUUAAUUGUUUGUAGUGGUUUGGUAAAGGGUGUGAUUAGCUGAUGUAUUAUUGUGGGAGCAUGUGAUUAGUUGAUGAAUUGUGUGCAUGGUUAAUGAUGGCUCUUAAGUAUUUAAAUGCAAUGGGCUGAGUGCCUACUAAGACUUGAAUAUUUCAUGACCCUGGAUGCUAACAGAAGGAUAUAGAUAUUUAAAUAUAUGGACAUUUAUUUAUUAUUAAUAUAUUUUAAUCUAUCUAUGCUUCUGUAUGGGCUGAAUGCUUUCAUUCACAUUUUGCUGUAUAUCCUAUGUUUUUUUAUUAAUAAUUUGGGUGUAUUACUGGUCAUAUUUGUUUGUUAAUAAAUGAACUGAAUUCAUUUCGAGUCUGUAUUCAUUAUUCACAGCUGCUGAAACAGCCUUUAAAUUAGUUUGGGCAUAUGAGGACAUAAAUUAGAUUAAACUACUGCAUGUCCGCCCAUAAAAAAUAAAUAAUUAUCAAAAAUUACCAACUGAUUACCAGCACACAACUACCGAUUCGCGACGUUGCCACGACGUCGCAGUUACUUACUGGUAACGUCACAAAGUUACGUUGUGGCGACGUAUACGCACCUUUCACUUUUCCGGUUGCCACGACGUAACUAGUUACGUCGCCACGACGAAACUUUGGUCACCAGAUUACGUUGCAGUUACGUAACAGUUACGUACUUUUGUUAGCUGGGAUAUUA